UACGGAGGGUGCAAGCGUUAUCCGGAUUCACUGGGUUUAAAGGGUGCGUAGGCGGGUAUGUAAGUCAGUGGUGAAAUCCUGCAGCUUAACUGCAGAACUGCCAUUGAUACUAUGUAUCUUGAAUAUCAUGGAGGUGAGCGGAAUAUGUCAUGUAGCGGUGAAAUGCUUAGAUAUGACAUAGAACACCGAUUGCGAAGGCAGCUCACUACACGAUUAUUGACGCUGAGGCACGAAAGCGUGGGGAUCAAACAGG
rnacentral:rRNA from 1 species